UACGGGGGGGGCAAGCGUUGUUCGGAAUUACUGGGCGUAAAGGGCUCGUAGGCGGCCAACUAAGUCGGACGUGAAAUCCCCAGGCUCGACCUGGGAACUGCAUCCGAUACUGGAUGGCUUGAAUUCGGGAGAGGGAUGCAGAAUUCCAGGUGUAGCGGUGAAAUGCGCAGAUAUCAGGAGGAACACCGGUGGCGAAGGCGGGUCUCUGGGCCGUGACUGACGCUGAGGAGCGAAAGCGUGGGGAGCGAACAGG
rnacentral:rRNA from 1 species